UUUUGGUUUUGUAAUUGGAAUGAGUUAAGUAUAAACCCCUUUACAAGUAUCAAUUGGAGGGCAAGUCUGGUGCCAGCAGCCGCGGUAAUUCCAGCUCCAAUAGCGUAUAUUAAAGUUGUUGCAGUUAAAAAGCUCGUAGUUGGAUUUCUGUUAAUAAUUUAUAUAAAAUAUUUUGAUGAAUAUUUAUAUAAUAUUAACAUAAUUCAUAUUACUAUAUAUUUUAGUAUAUGAAAUUUUACUU
rnacentral:rRNA from 1 species